GCCACAUCAAGUAUGCCGCCACCGGCGGCAUAUUUGGCGUAGGAAGUGGUCAUCAGCGCCGACCUCACCGCCGCUGGUGACCACUCUGGCCGCGCUGCUUUCAGCAGCGCGGCCAGCCCGCUCACGUGCGGGCACGACAUAGAGGUGCCAGAUAUGAUGUUGAAUUCCACGCGGCGGGUGUCCGCCGCCAUGCCAGUGGGUCCAACCGCGCCGGUCCAUCCGGCGAGAAUGUUGACCCCUGGUGCGAUGAGGUCGGGUUUCAGGAUAUCGGGUGUGACGAUGUUCGGCCCGCGUGAGGAGAACGCCGCCACCACUGGGGAUGGCCUGACGCCGACCUUGGUACCGCCGAACAUAAUGGUAGCUGUCGGAUUCGACGAGGUUUGUAGGUAUGACUUCAGCGCGUCGCCGGCUUUCUCCCCAACGCCGGCUGCGGGGAGGAGGUGAGCGUCAGCCACGAGCUCCUCGCCGUUGCCGGCGGCAUUGGCGAGGACCAUGCCUGCGCCGCCGGCAUCCCGCACCACCAGACCCUUCUGCACUCUUGCGUUUACUCCACGGUCGCAGAGGACAACCUUCCCCGCCACUAGCUCUGGUAUAAGUGUUCCAGUCAUACAGAGAUUUCCACUAGUGGCGUUGCUAGCAUUGCCAGCGUAGACGAACGGGAGCUGCGCUCCGGAGAGCGGCUUGCCG
rnacentral:misc_RNA from 1 species